CAUUAAGAAGCUAAACAGCGUUAACCUUUUAAGUUAAAGAUUGAGGGAAAUAAGACCCUUCUUAAUGA
rnacentral:tRNA from 1 species